rnacentral:rRNA from 1 species
GAUGAACGCUGGCGGCGUGCUUAACACAUGCAAGUCGAACGGAAAGGCCCAAGCUUGCUUGGGUACUCGAGUGGCGAACGGGUGAGUAACACGUGGGUGAUCUGCCCUGCACUUCGGGAUAAGCCUGGGAAACUGGGUCUAAUACCGGAUAGGACCACUUCUUGGAUGUUGUGGUGGAAAGUUUUUUCGGUGUGGGAUGAGCUCGCGGCCUAUCAGCUUGUUGGUGGGGUAAUGGCCUACCAAGGCGUCGACGGGUAGCCGGCCUGAGAGGGUGUACGGCCACAUUGGGACUGAGAUACGGCCCAGACUCCUACGGGAGGCAGCAGUGGGGAAUAUUGCACAAUGGGCGCAAGCCUGAUGCAGCGACGCCGCGUGGGGGAUGACGGCCUUCGGGUUGUAAACUCCUUUCGCUAGGGACGAAGCGUUUUGGGACGGUACCUGGAGAAGAAGCACCGGCUAACUACGU